rnacentral:rRNA from 1 species
UACAGAGGGGGCAAGCGUUGUUCGGAAUUACUGGGCGUAAAGGGCGCGUAGGCGGCCUGCUAAGUCGAACGUGAAAUCCCUGGGCUCAACCCAGGAACUGCGUCCGAUACUGGUUGGCUUGAAUCCGGGAGAGGGAUGUGGAAUUCCAGGUGUAGCGGUGAAAUGCGUAGAUAUCUGGAGGAACACCGGUGGCGAAGGCGACAUCCUGGACCGGCAUUGACGCUGAGGCGCGAAAGCCAGGGGAGCAAACGGG